GAGAGAGAGAGAGAGAGAGCCAAAACAAAAAUUCAAGAAAAAUGAAGAACAAAUCCAAUGGCCUCUAAAAGUGGCACACUCUUGACUGAAUGCAUUCAUUCAAUGCAUUCACUUGAACAGAUAUACUAGGUAAAGAAAAAUAAACAAAUAAAUGAUUUAAGGGGAAAAAAGGGAAGAAACAAUUCCUGGGGACUCUGAAGUCUGAAAGUGGCAUACUGUUGAUGAAAUUACUUGGCAAAGAAAACAUAAAAAAGAGGGAAAAUAUUAAUGAAAAACAUUGAAGAAACAAAUCUAGUGGGAUCUAAGUGGCGUACUGUUUCUCAAAUUAAAUAUGAUUUUUUCAGAAUUUCUUCCUUAACCAUUAUAAUUUCAUCCAUAUGCAGCUUUGCUAAUUUCUAUCCUCUAAAUAUUCCAGUCAUUAAUAUGGAAUUUGAGAAAAGGACUGUCUGGUUAAUAGCAACAGUGCAUUAAAUGUAUAAUGCUGUCUGUAACACUAUAUUUACACAUACUUUUUAAAAUGCAAAAUCAUCCAGAAUAAAAAGUGCCCUUGUGCUGUUGUGCAUGGAGUACGUCAGCUACUCUCACAACCCCAUUGGAACGUUACAUGAAAUGAUAGAGCAAAAAAAUGUUAAGAUAUAGUGUUGAUUAUGCCUUGAUUUAUUGCUGUAAAUGGGUUGUAAUUAUGCAUUAAUAUAGGAUGUAAUUAUGAAGUAGGAUCUCCUACAAUCAUGUAAGCUUCCUAUUUUGUUUCUUCAGUAAUAUUAUAAAUCCCAACCAAGCUUGAGGGAAUAAUCAAGCUUUCCCUUCACAAAUCCUCUCUCUUUCCAUAUUUUCACAAAAAAAUGUGGAGAUCCCUGCAUUUCUUUGGUAUGCCAAUAUAGAGGAUAAAAGGAAAAUGUAACUCGCUUCUUUUCAACUACUAGAUUAAAUAAAGGUAUGCAGUUUAUGCAGGCAGAAGCAGAACCAUGAAAAAUCAGGUAUAUGAAGGAAACAAAAAUGUCCCUCAGACCUCAUAAUCCUUUUACUACAAGAGCCAACAAACUUGAAUUCAA
rnacentral:misc_RNA from 1 species